GUUCAUCUCGGUGAGCGAGUGAUUAAGUACGAUGUUCGAAAUGCACACAGGUAAAAAACAAGUUAAUUAACUAAACUUGGAAUCGCGUGUGAUAAGUUGCGGAGUGGAGAUCCAGUCUUUAACGGAUGGGCACACUGCGCGUAAAGUGAAGAAAAAAGGUAAAUCGCGGAGCGGAGAUUUAGUCUUUCAACGAAUGGACUCACUGCACGUGAAGUAGGGAAAAGGUAAAUCGCGGAACGAAGAUUCGGUCUUUUAAUAGGUAAGUUCGUAACGCGGAAAAUGGGUAGAAUCUAAGUGUCGAGCCAGUUAUAGCAAAGAUCACGAAAAUUUGGGCUUGGGAUAGCGCUCGCAAGAAUAAGCCACAGUCGGUGUGAUACGCGCUGUAGGUAUGGCCCUGAGAUUUACCGACAUAUAAUUUCCCGAUGUGGUUUAUCGUCUCAACGGGAUAUGUACCGACGGCAGCAAGGGACGCGAUCCUCGGAAGUUUCUUCUUCACCGACGGUCGCGCAUGGGGAAACACUCGGGAAUUUGACGUUUUCUUCUCGUGGAUUCUCACGCUAAUAUAAAAAAAAAACACUCGCGGUUCGUAUCACUCGCGCACUAAUUAAGAAAUUCGAUCGCGGUUAGGGUCAACUCGCGGAUAACACUUGAGGAAUGGUGGCCGAGGUGGCGCUCACCAUGGUAAGUAGGAUUUCUUCUCAACAGCCAAGGUGGCGUUCGCUGAGAGUGGAUCGAUAGGAUGCUAGGUGCAACGUGGAGAGAAUAAUCUGACAACCUUCCCAACGCUAAGGCGGCGGACUUGAGAGAGACUGUUCUACGUACCUACUGCUUCUUCAGGAACACCCGGGAUGACAACCUGGCGGCGACCUUCAACGGUGGAGCACCUCUAACGAUCG